UGAAGCACGGCAUUUUCCUUUGGUGUUUCUGUGCGGAAAGCCACCUCUGGAGGCGGACAGCCCUACGCGCUGAGAGACGACGCCCCUGCCAUGCCUCCUGCAAGCAGAGUCAGACAGGUAUCUGCACAGAGCUGAGGGGCCCAGGGUCUGAAGCACAGCCAGAGACACGAAGGGAGCAACAGACUCCACAAGGACUCCCUUCGGAGUCCAUUUGGAUUAAGGAUGUGCACUUGUUAGGGAGGAAGGGAGCGUUACAAGAGGUCUGAAGCCUACCUAAGUCCCCAGGUCAGGCAUGUGGCACAGCCGGGACUUGAACCUACCUCCAUUCAGCCAUCCAGAAGCUCACCCUCCCUCAGCCAGUGGGAAACUGAAGAUGCUAUGCAGCCUGCCAAGGUGCCAAACCCAGGGAGGCUCCCAGGACAGCCACGGCUCUGUGGCCUUGCUCCUGGCUGAGGGGUUUUCGGCUCCCAGCGCCGAGUGAAUGGAGACACCCCAAUAGCAGAGGACUCGUUCCGUGCCUUGGCUG